rnacentral:rRNA from 1 species
GACAGAGGGUGCGAACGUUGUUCGGAAUUACUGGGCGUAAAGCGCAUGUAGGCGGCAGCGCAAGUCGGGCGUGAAAUCCCACGGCUCAACCGUGGAAGUGCACUCGAAACUGCGCAGCUAGAGUCCUGGAGAGGAAGGUGGAAUGCUUGGUGUAGAGGUGAAAUUCGUAGAUAUCAAGCGGAACACCGGUGGCGAAGGCGGCCUUCUGGACAGUGACUGACGCU